CGGGUAACAAAGAGUAGUCAUCAUAAGAAUUGCCGGCGGUCAUGCCUAUCCGUCAUUAGGGGGCACUCUCGUGCGUCUGAGCAGCGCAGUGAGAAAAAGGGAAAGAAAGAGAGUGUUUUAUUUCGGGGGAACGGUUUUAUGAUUGAGGCAUCCCGGACACGAGUGAAUUGAAGUGCGUGGGCUGGAAAACAACACCGUCUGUUGUUUGCUCAGGGAAAAAAAAAGGGAAAUCCUCGGUUGGGUGUUGGUCUGGUCGCUGAGCAGUUUGGAGCAGUCUGCGAUCACACAGAUUUCGUAUUUCUCCGUGGGUGAGAAAUAUCUGCGUAGAGGAAUCGUGCAGGCCGCGGAGAUCGAGCAGGGGAGAACGAAGGCACGUGAAGGUGCAUGUGAGGUGACAGCUGGGUGAAUUUCUAAUGUGACGCAGCACGGCACAGAAAAGCAUUAUAAGCCACUACCGUUGUUUAUCCAGGGGGUUAAGUGCUCACACCAAUUUCUUUGUACUGUGUUUAAUUUAUUUAUUUGUUUAUUUUUAUUUUAUUUUUUUGUUACUGUGGG